GGGGGCGAUCAGGCUUCGACGGGUGUCGGUCGACCUCGAGAGAGCGAGCCGGGCAUGUCAGGUCAUCCCGUAAAACUGCCUGGCGACCAAUAGGUGCCGACGACAACGUGGCCCUGGCGGCCUAACUAAGCCGCCCGUCCGCCCUCGGCUGCCUGGGCUGGGGGACCGGACGUCAUAGCCAGGCUCUACCGGCAGAUCACCCCCGCGGGUCUGCCGGGACACGCUAGCGGGGUAAGGCCGCCGAGCCGCUUGGUCCCGGAGCGCGGCGGCCCGACACCCAGCCGGGACCUACGCUCGUAGCCGCUCUCGAGGACGAGACAUCCGGACGCGGGUUCGACUCCCGCCGCCUCCACAC
rnacentral:tmRNA from 1 species